UUAUGAUGAUUCCUUAUAGAUGACGAGUCUGAAUUUUUGUGAAGACAAAACCUUAACAAAUACCAUUCAUGCUUUUCUGAAA
rnacentral:snoRNA from 1 species